AACGCUAGCUACAGGCUUAACACAUGCAAGUCGAGGGGAAACGGGCGUCAGGCUUGCCUGACGCAGUCGUCGACCGGCGAAUGGGUGAGUAACGCGUAUCCAACCUGCCCGCAAGCGGGGAAUAGGCUUUCGAAAGAAAGAUUAAUACCCCAUGUACUCCUCAGCAGUCAUCUAAAGAGGAGCAAAGAUUUAUCGCUUGCGGAUGGGGAUGCGUCUGAUUAGGCAGUUGGCGGGUUAACAGCCCACCAAACCGACGAUCAGUAGGGGUUCUGAGAGGAAGGUCCCCCACAUUGGAACUGAGACACGGUCCAAACUCCUACGGGAGGCAGCAGUGAGGAAUAUUGGUCAAUGGGCGAGAGCCUGAACCAGCCAAGUAGCGUGCAGGAUGACGGCCCUAUGGGUUGUAAACUGCUUUUAUACAGGAAUAAAGUUAGCCACGUGUGGUUAUUUGUAGGUACUGUAUGAAUAAGGACCGGCUAAUUCCGUGCCAGCAGCCGCGGUAAUACGGAAGGUCCAGGCGUUAUCCGGAUUUAUUGGGUUUAAAGGGAGCGUAGGCCGUCUGUUAAGCGUGUUGUGAAAUGUAGAUGCUCAACAUCUGAAUUGCAGCGCGAACUGGCAGACUUGAGUGUGCGCAACGUAGGCGGAAUUCGUGGUGUAGCGGUGAAAUGCUUAGAUAUCACGAAGAACUCCGAUUG
rnacentral:rRNA from 1 species